UACAUGUGGGGCAAGCGUUGUUCGGAAUUACUGGGCAUAAAGGGUGCGUAGGCGGCUUGUUAAGUCAGGGGUGAAAUCCUGGAGCUCAACUCCAGAACUGCCUUUGAUACUGGCGACCUUGAGUCCGGGAGAGGUGAGUGGAACUGCGAGUGUAGAGGUGAAAUUCGUAGAUAUUCGCAAGAACACCAGUGGCGAAGGCGGCUCACUGGCCCGGUACUGACGCUGAGGUGCGAAAGCGUGGGGAGCAAACAGG
rnacentral:rRNA from 1 species